CCCCCCUAGGGUUCCGGAUGGUGAGCGGCGAAGGUAAGGCGAGCUCGCAGAGGCAUCGGCGGCGGCGGCGGAGACGGAGAGAGGCAGGCAGGCAGGGCGAGGGCGAGAGACGGAGGGAGGGAGCGAGCGAGGCGGACCAGACAGACAGACAGGCGGGCGGGCGGGCAGAGCGAGCCACCCGCCAGGCUGCGCUCAGCCCCGCUCGCAGCGGAGAGAGCAGAAGGCAGGAGGAGGGAGGGGAGGAGGGGGAGGGAGGGAGAGAGGGAAUCCAGCUACCACCACCCAAAGCCAGCGUCUGCUUUCUGUCCUCAUUUCCUUUUCCCACCCAGCUUGGAGAGCAGAGAAAGGCAGAGAGAGCGAGAAAUAGAGACAGUCUGAGAGACAGACAGACAGCCAGAGAGAGCGGGAGGGAGGAGGGCGGAGGAGGAGGAGCAGGAGGACUACGCGGGGCGCGUUCCCUCCCAGCAGCCGGGCGCCCGCGUCGCUGCCACCGCCGGAAGACAGACGCCCCCUAAAACCCCUCGCCUGGCUCGGACCCACGGAGCCGGCAGCCCAGCACUCCGAUGGGAGCUUGCCUGAUUGUCAAGCCAUCAGCCUGGACCCCAGAGCCUACCCAGCUGAGCAUGUGCAGAGGGCCCCGAGUGCGGGGCGACACUCAGGCCAUUACAGAGACCACCCUGGAGAUGCUGAUGAAGACAGGCCUUUCCUGCUGAGCCGGGCCUGUCUGCACAGCCUGCUCAGGUAACAGUGUGCAGGGAAGCCAGGCUUGGGCCUGGGCCACCCCCAGGAAGUGGGGAUCAGGGGAACUUGCCUCCCAGUCCCAACAGGGAUCCCCUCCCAGCUUAGGUCAAAAAGAGGUUCUUUACAGAAUCAAAACAUAUUAACCCAACAUUUACUCAAACUCCCCAUUAUCCAGAAAGGGGAACUGAGGCUCAUGGAUAUACAGUGAGUCCUACCUCCUAGCCUGAGGACUCUUCCCUGCGCCUUGAUGACCUGAGAGAACUGGGAGGAGAAAGGGGUUGUGACAAUGACCAGGACUCAGGGCAGAGGUGGAAACCAGAGUGCCUGAUGUGUGCAGCUGCUGACCCCCCAGGACACCUCUCUACCGGAGUCUGUGGAAGCAGAGAACUGGGAGGCCAAGGUGAGGUGCUGGGAGGGCCUGGGUAGCCCAGGUAUGCUAAGGUGCCCUUGCAGGACAGGGAGGGGGGUGGGGGCAGUGGCAGAACCCCCCUCACUACUCCUGGCCCAGGUUAGCCCACCCAGGCUCAGGAGCUGCGGAGCCAGGUGAAGCUGCCCUGCCCUGCAGAGGCAACUCCCUGAACUGACACAUGAAGCCUCCGGCUCCAGGAAGCUCCCUAGAGCUGAGCCUGCCUGGGGACCCCACCCAGCUUCCAAAGGAGCAUUCCUGGGGCCUGAGGUCUGGGGGUGGAGUCUCCUGGGAUUGUAAGGGUGGGGAGGUACAGCUGUGGGAGGAUGCAAGGCUGUGUGUAUCCGACUGUAAAUGUGCAGGGCACUCAAGCUUGUGUGCAAGCAGGUGUGUGUGGCGGGCUCUGUCCUUCCGUGCACAUGGGGUAAUAUACAAGAGUUGUAUAAGUGGACCAGGCUGGGGAGUGUUCAAGGGCUGUGUUAUGUGGUACAUGGGAGUAUGAAUAUGCAGGAUUCUGGGUGUGUACUGGGCAGGUGUGGGGAUACGGCGUGUGCCACACUGGAUGGUGUGUGUGCAAGGGUGCUAGUGUACACUGGAGAGAUGUGUGUAUAGACAAGAUCUGAAUACACUGCGAUGGUAUCGUGUGUGCACACAGGGAUCUGUGUGUACACUGGCUGUGUGUGUGCCCAGGGUUCUGGAUGCACAGUGGGAGUGAUGUGCACAUGUGGCUCCAUUUGUGCUUUGGUGGUGGGUUGGGCAAGCCUUGAGCUGAGCUGGGCUCAGCAGUGCCCAGCCUUGUGGCCAAAUCGCUGAAGUCACUUCCUUUCCAGCAGCAACUUUCCAGGAGGAGGAGUUCUUCAGACCUGGGCGGGGAGGCAGGGGGGGGCGGAACAAGGAGC
ensembl:lincRNA